CCUACGGGUGGCAGCAGUGAGGAAUAUUGGUCAAUGGACGAGAGUCUGAACCAGCCAAGUAGCGUGAAGGAUGACUGCCCUAUGGGUUGUAAACUUCUUUUAUAAAGGAAUAAAACGAGGCACGUGUGCCUUUUUGCAUGUACUUUAUGAAUAAGGAUCGGCUAACUCCGUGCCAGCAGCCGCGGUAAUACGGAGGAUCCGAGCGUUAUCCGGAUUUAUUGGGUUUAAAGGAAACGUAGAUGGGUUGUUAAGUCAGUUGUGAAAGUUGUCGGCUCAACCGUAAAAUUGCAAUUGAUACUGGCAGUCUUGAGUACAGUUGAGGUAGGCGGAAUGCGUGGUGUAGCGGUGAAAUGCGUAGAUAUCUCGAAGAACCCCGAUUGCGAAGGCAGCUUACUAAACUGUGACUGACAUUGAUGCUCGAAAGCGUGGGUAGCAAACAGGAUUAGAUACCCUUGUAGUC
rnacentral:rRNA from 1 species